GAGCUCUGCUAUCACUUGUACUGCCUGCACUGACGUCCUCUGUGUGUUUCAUUGUGCAGAGAGUGAUCCAGCUUCAGUCUCUCCAGCAGUAGGAACAGAAUACGUCACUUAUGGGCAAAUCAUCAUCAAAGACAAGAAAAAAAAGUCAGAGAGCGAUUCAGCUGCAGUGUACUCAGGAGUGAGAACAGAAGACAUCAAUUACGGACAAAUAGCCUUCAGACCAAAGAGGAAAAAAGACUGUAAACCAGAGCCAGAUGUCGUCUACUCUUCACUGAAGUAGUCCACCAAUCCAACCACUGAUGUCCAGCUGCUGGUCUCUAACUGGUCCCCCCAGCACCUCCACAGACACAUCCAUAUGUUGAAAAGAUUUCUUUUUGAUGUUUUGUGUCUUUUAUUUGACUUAUUACAUCCUCCUCCACUUACAAAUUCAGGGUUGCAGUGGGACUGGAGCCUAUCCCAGCUGCCGUAGGACAAGGCUCAGGGUACACCUUCAGCAGGUCCCCGUUCUUGCAGGGCUAACACAGAGAGAGAAUUUAGAGUCAUCAACUAACCUAACCCCACUAACUGCAUGUUGUUGGGCUGUGGGAGGAAGCCAAAGUACCUGCAGAGACCCACACAAAUGCAAGGAGAACAUGCAAACUUCAACAUCAGCAAUAUUAAUAAAAAUAUUUUAAUAUAUCUUAUGUUGUCAGUAACUUUACUGUUAUUUCCAUUCUUGUAUGUUGGGUCCAGCUCGUGUUCUCAUGGCAGCGAUCUGAUUUCUUAUUAAACUUUUGUUCUCUUGUGUGUUUCUCACGUGGUUCUGUGGGUUUCACUGAGUUGUUAAGUGACAAAUGUGAACAGUUCCGGUUUGGUUGUGGCUAACCGAAACACUCAGUGCUGCAGUCAGUACGGUCAGUUUGAAGAGAAGUUAACUUGAACAUCGGUGUAUAACCAUAGACAGUUUUUCAUUGUAUUACAUUACAGCUGUUUUUCAUCAAAUGAUAUAGACGAGAACAAACACAG